UAUGGACUUGCCAAGUGAUCUUAGUGUCUUUGCAACUGAGCACACUCUACCACCAACAAGGACAGCUCACCAGUGGGAGCUGAUACAUAAGACUGCUCUCAUCCAUUGAAGAGCUGACCAGAAACGUGAACAGAGAGACUGCAACUGCACCUGAUGGGAUCCCUGCCAUAACAGAUGUGUUCUGUCCAGUGAAGGCAGUGGAGAAGCCCUACACUGAUCUUGAAACUGUGCCACGCUAGUAGAGACCGGCCACAAGGAUGGGCAGCUGUUUUCGCAAAGUCAGCCAACCACUUGCUUCCAAAUGACCCUUAUCCAGAAGUAUCCGUGAGUGCCUCAUCAACAGAAACUAAAGUGGAGACCUACCUCUCAGAGAAAAACGCACACAUAAGAAAAGCCGACCCACUUCAGUACUGGGAAGAACAUCCUAAUCGGUUUCCCUCUAUGGCUGCUGUUGCGAUCCCAGUGUGCCCCCUGUAGCUCUGUGGACAGUUUUGGAUUUGUUUACAUCUCACCCAACC
ensembl:lncRNA